ACCAAAGGCUACAUGAUACCCGACGCCGUCAAGAUCAACGCGGCAUCUGUUACUAACGAAAUGCACAACCUGCCACGGAACCGACCAUUCGUCCCGACUACACAGAGGAACGUAUGAUUAAACCGUACCUUUGAGAUAAGACGAUCUCCACAGUGUUUCUUCAAGUGGUCAACCCAUUGUUGGGAAACAAUUCCAACCAACUGGAAACAAAAUAGCAAGCAAGCAGCUCGCAAGGCUACACGAGAACAAUCACGUAACUUUACUUACCAGAUUUAUCGGAGAGUGGUGAGCAGAAGAAACUCCUCAAUGUUUUUAGAUUUAGAUUUUUAAUAUCUUCCUCUCUCGUCACAACCAUUGAGAAUGGGCUCAACGUCAGUGUGUGAGUAACUGAAUCAACUAGAGGGGAGCACAGUCUCCAGUCUCCGAUGGAAAGCUCUGAAUAACAAAGACAUGUUUGAGAGCAGCAGCGGCAUCAGCAGCAGGCUUGGCUGAGUGGUGACGUCAAGGAACUAUGACUGUGCCAAGCAGCAUUAGACUUUACACAUUGCUGCCCCUCAAGUCCAAACCACACUACUGACCUGGCCCAUUAUAA